GGAAAGAAGACAUUUGGAGUGAUAGCAUUUGUAUUUUGAAAUAAUCACUAAUGCAUGAUGGUGCCCUGAUUUCAUGGAGAUGGCUGAACACCUGAUGGGAAGUUUCACAGAGGGCAGAGUGCUCAAGAGGCUGAGUGCUGCUUAUUGUCAUCUGGAGAUAAACCAUGACAACGGGUCACUUUUCCUGUGCACUGUGCAUGGGCAGCACUUAGAAAGAGUCACAAGUUUGACUGGGUCAAGAAUCCAAAUACUCAGGUUACAGGACUUUCUGCUAUGCUACAGGUGCUAUCCAGUAUGCACACCUUAUUUCUUUCUAUGGAAAAGUCACAGUGAUUGGAUGGGGAUGAAGUUGAGGCAUGAUUAAGACGGCACUGGGGAAUUUAGGUGAGUUGAGUCUAAAACUGGCCACAGAGAGGUGGCCUUGGAGCUGAGGUGUCAACACUGAGACUAGAAGAAGCUCUGACAUGAGGACUCUACACCCUGCAGAGCUGCAUGGUUAUCCAGGGGAUGACUGAGCCUUCUGGGCAACCUCCUCUGCUUCCUGAGGUUGAGGACAACCACAAGAGGAAGAAUCUGUAUGAAUUUCUGUCCUGUUUUUAACAAAAUCAAACUGAACCCAAGAUGUUUUUAAUGGAAUACUUCCAAUCUCUAGAUGGUACACCUGAAAAAAAAUCAUCAGCCUUAGAUUUAUAAUAGCAUCACAGCAGACAGACAAAAGUCCCAAUGGACAUCUGUCACGGGGGGAAUGUGGUAAGGUGCCACAACCUUCUCCCAGAAGUGCCUUGAGAAAGUGUCCUGCCAGGCACAGGCUCAACUUGCCAGCCACUCCCUUGCCCUAGUGAUUUCAGGCUCUCUUGUGAGAGUGUCUGAGCCGCAGCUGCCACUUGGGUGACACAGAAGAGAAAGGAGGUAAGACAGAGUCCACCUAGGAGCCUUUAUUCCUCUUCUGAGUCCAGGGAGCGUGGGAGAGCCGGGAUUAUAUGGGGAAGUCAGGGGAUGGGGUUACAGAACUUGGCCAAUGGGGUGAAGGAUUGCCAAAGGGACCAGCUGGGGUGAGGAUCAAAAAGUGACCAAUCAAUAGGAGAAGAGACUAGGAAAGUAAGGAAACAACCAAUGGGGGAUAACAGAUUUUCAUACAAACUCAAAGCCUCAUGGUGUUCCUCAUUUUUGCUCACCCUAACUAGACAGCUGUCUCUCGGAGAGAUUUCUUUAGGGAAGCUACUACAAUUUGAACAGCCUAAAGGCUGCACACUCUCCAAGGGAGAGCGAUAGCAUCAGUAGAUGGCUCAGGGGCCACCACACGCAUCAGUGUUAUGAACCAGUGUUAGUUAAUUUCUUCCUGAACAGGAUAGACAAAGAGGUUGAGUGCACCCUCAGACAAUUUGCAGGCAAUUGGCAUGGAUGAUUCACCUGAAGGAUGUGAUGCCAUCCAGAGGGACCUGAACAGGCCUGAGAUGCGGGUCCGUGGGAAUUUCAUGAGGUUUAACGAGACCGAGUGCAAGGUGCUUCACUUGUAUUGGGACAGUCUCUGGUAUCAACACAGGCUGGGGACAAACAAAUUGAGAGCAGCCAUGCCCAGAAGGACUUGGGGGCGCUGGUGGAUGAGAGGCUGGACUUGACCCUACAAUGUGCGCUUGCAACCCAGAAAGACAACUAUCCUGGGCUGCUUCAGAAGCUGCAUGGGCAGCAGGGUGAGGGAGGGGAUUCUGCCCCUCUGCUCUGCUCUUAUGAGACUGCACCUGCAGUACUACAUCCAGCUCGGGGGUUCUCACCACAGGAAUGACAUCAAGCUGCUGGAGAAGGUCCAGAGGAAAGGCACCAAGAUGAUUAGAAGGAUACCUCUUCUAUGAUGAAAGUCAGAAAGAAGUACAAUUAUUUAGCCUGGAAAAGAGAAGGCUUCACCAUAAUGUAAUUGCAGCAUUCCAGUAUCUAAAAAGAACCUACAAGAAAGAUGUAGAAAGACUUUUUACAAGGGCGUGUAAUAAUAAGACAAGGGCGAAUGGCUUCUAACUGGACAAUAGUAUGUUUGGAUCAGAUAUUAGAAAGAAAUUCUUUACUGUGAUGGGGGUAAGGCACUGGGACAGGUUAAAAAUUUGUGAAUAUCCCAUCUCUGGAAGUGUUCACGGCUAGGUUGAAUGAGACUUUGAGCAACUUGUUCUGGUGAAAGUUGUUCCUGUUUAUGGUAGGGGAGUUUGAACUAGAUCAUCUUUAAGACCCCUUACAAUACAAGCCAUUCUAUCUGAAGCCAUCAUCCUGCCUAGGUUACUUAAGUGAAAAUUCUCAUGGAAAGUAGGUCUUAUUUAGGAUAUUCAGUGUAAAUCUUCUAACAGCUCAGGUUAGUACUGGAGACAUGAUUGCAAGUACUUAUUGCUACCUCCUUCUUAGGAAAGAGCCUGAAAUAUCUAAAUUUACCUUUUCAUUCGUCACCAAAAAUUUUGAAUGCAAUGAUAAAUAAACAAAUAACUUUUGAAGAUAUAGCAUCUGUUAAAAUUAUGCCUUUUUGCAAAAACAAUGCACAAAAUAAUGUGGUGAAAAUACUUGCAGGUUCUUACAUGAAAUUCAAUAUAAAAAUACUGCACUUCUUAAGAAUGCCCAUAAAAGUCAUGUUAAUUCUGUAGGUAGCACCCACUGUGAAAGAAUGAAUAUGAGAAGAAAAAGUUGUAUAUCAUGCUGUAAUCAUUUAGAAAAAUAUUUUCUCCUGUAGGUUGUUAAUACAUAAUACUUGGAGAAUUUUAGCAAAAGGAUAUGUAAAUAAAUUCAGGGUUUCAUGUCCCUGUCAAGUAUUCUUACCUUUAUAAAAUAACCUUUGUUCUGAGUUCAA